GGAAGGAUGUAGUUCAGUGGUGGAACAUCUGCCUUGGAUGUAGAGCCUAGGUUCAAUCCCCAAUGUCUCCA